GGAGAUCUAGAUUGCUAACGCAUACCUAGCGCAGGCGGGGCCUGCAUGAUAAAUCCAAGAUGGCGGUACAACAGGGCAAAAAUACUAUAGAUUCUAUUACGAAAAUCAGGAUUUUUGUAUUUUUUGCCGUCGCAUUGUUUCGAAACUUAUUCGGUCAAAUUUUAUGGUAAAGAGAAACUUACCGCGAAGAUUUUGAGCAUAUAUAUGAUUGAAUUGGAUGAAAACUCGCAAAAUUAUCCAGCGAUAAAAGUUUGUGUCAAAUGGUCAGUUGGAGCGUUUUAUUGCCAGAAAUACUGUGCUAUGUUAACAUCUAGCCUUGUGAAUGGUGUUUUAUACUUGCAUCUCUCAUCAUCAUCUGCUCUGUCCUCAUAAUUAUGAAAAAUGAACUGUUAUGUACCCCCGCCCCCUCCUUGCUUGUUAGAGAAGUAAACUGAUGAGAGCACUGGAUGAGGGUCUAUCAUCUAUGGUCUGUUAUAAUUUGCUUUUUAUGCAAAUAGUGAGC